rnacentral:sRNA from 1 species
UACGGGGAGAAAAAUGAGCCGCGUGCAGCAGGGGCAGCCUCGGUCCCCUGCCUGCUCCGCCCACGGCGAGCGUUCCUGGGGCCUCGGGUUUCCCCCCUUCCGCUGGCUGCUCGGAACCGCAGGACCAACCCACCUGGCCGCCCUGCUUCCCCUCCAGUGGGUCCUGGCCUUCGAGAUCUUCAUCCCCCUGGUGCUGUUCUUCAUCCUGCUGGGGCUGCGGCAGAAGAAGCCCACCAUCUCCGUGAAGGAAGCCUUCUACACAGCGGCACCCCUGACGUCUGCUGGCAUCCUGCCUGUCAUGCAGUCGCUGUGCCCGGACGGCCAGCGGGACGAGUUCGGCUUCCUGCAGUACGCCAACUCCACGUGAGUGCCCACCCGCCCCUCGGAGCACCCACCCCUCCCCAGCCCAUCCAGUGAGUGACAUCUGCCACGGUGCAGGGUCACGCAGCUGCUUGAGCGCCUGGACCGCGUGGUGGAGGAAGGAAACCUGUUCGACCCAGCGCGGCCCAGCCUGGGCUCAGAGCUCGAGGCCCUGCGCCAGCAUCUGGAGGCCCUCAGUGCGGGCCCGGGCACCUCGGGGAGCCACCUGGACAGAUCCACAGUGUCUUCCUUCUCUCUGGACUCGGUGGCCAGGGACCCGCAGGAGCUCUGGCGUUUCCUGACGCAAAACCUGUCGCUGCCCAAUAGCACGGCCCAAGCCCUCUUGGCCGCCCGUGUGGACCCGCCUGAGGUCUACCACCUGCUCUUUGGUCCCUCGUCUGCCCUGGAUUCACAGUCUGGCCUCCACAAGGGUCAGGAGCCCUGGAGCCGCCUAGGGGGCAAUCCCCUGUUCCGGAUGGAGGUGAGGGCAUCCAUGUGUGGGAUGGGACUGGACUGCUGCCUAUCUCUGGGGGUGCUUCUGCUCCGUGGGUGAGGAAAGGGCCCCCUUGGUGACUUGGAGCUCCUCCUGGG